AUGUUCUCUCCAUCAUCUCUACUGCUCCUGCUGGCAGCUGCUUCCUGUGGACACUGUGUUGAACUGAAUCAGCCUGGAUCCAUGACGGUACAACCAGGCCAGGUUCUCUCCAUCAACUGUAAGCCUUCAUAUUCAGUCACAGAUGAUGAUACAGCUUGGAUCCGACAGGCUGCAGGAGAAGCUCUGGAGUGGAUCGGAUAUAUCGAUAGUGAUGGUGACACAGCUUACAAUGAUAAACUGAAAAAUAAGUUCAGCAUCUCCAGAGACACGAGCAGCAACACCAUAACAUUACGAGGCCAGAAUGUACAAGCUGAAGAUUCAGCUGUGUAUUACUGUGCGAGAUUCACAGUGAUGCUGAGUAGUGGAGUCACCUCACAAAAACCAUCUCAAGCUCUCAGUGUGAACCAGACACUAUUUCAGAUGUAA